rnacentral:rRNA from 1 species
UGCGUAGGCGGAAUAUUAAGUCAGCGGUGAAAUCCUGCGGCUCAACCGUAGAACUGCCAUUGAUACUGGUAUUCUUGAAUGUAGUUGAGGUAGGCGGAAUGUGUAAUGUAGCGGUGAAAUGCUUAGAUAUUACACAGAACACCGAUUGCGAAGGCAGCUUACUAAACUAUGAUUGACGCUGAUGCACGAAAGCGUGGGGAGCGAACAGGAUUAGAUACCCUGGUAGUCC